UGGGGAAUUUUGGACAAUGGGGGCAACCCUGAUCCAGCAAUGCCGCGUGUGUGAAGAAGGCCUUCGGGUUGUAAAGCACUUUUGUCCGGAAAGAAAACGCACUGGUUAAUACCCGGGGCGGAUGACGGUACCGGAAGAAUAAGCACCGGCUAACUACGUGCCAGCAGCCGCGGUAAUACGUAGGGUGCGAGCGUUAAUCGGAAUUACUGGGCGUAAAGGGUGCGCAGGCGGUUUGCUAAGACCGAUGUGAAAUCCCCGGGCUUAACCUGGGAACUGCAUUGGUGACUGGCAGGCUAGAGUAUGGCAGAGGGAGGUAGAAUUCCACGUGUAGCAGUGAAAUGCGUAGAGAUGUGGAGGAAUACCGAUGGCGAAGGCAGCCUCCUGGGCCAAUACUGACGCUCAUGCACGAAAGCGUGGGGAGCAAACAGGAUUAGAUACCCCCGUAGUCC
rnacentral:rRNA from 1 species